GCCCCAGUAACGGCGAGUGAAGCGGCAACAGCUCAAAUUUGAAAUCUGGCUCUCGGGCCCGAGUUGUAAUUUGUAGAGGAUGCUUUUGGUGAGGUGCCUUCCGAGUUCCCUGGAACGGGACGCCAUAGAGGGUGAGAGCCCCGUCUGGUUGGACGCCGAACCUCUGUAAAGCUCCUUCGACGAGUCGAGUAGUUUGGGAAUGCUGCUCUAAAUGGGAGGUAUAUGUCUUCUAAAGCUAAAUACCGGCCAGAGACCGAUAGCGCACAAGUAGAGUGAUCGAAAGAUGAAAAGAACUUUGAAAAGAGAGUUAAACAGUACGUGAAAUUGUUGAAAGGGAAGCGCUUGUGACCAGACUUGGGCUUGGUUGAUCAUCCGGGGUUCUCCCCGGUGCACUCUUCCGGCUCAGGCCAGCAUCAGUUCGCCCUGGGGGAUAAAGGCAUCGGGAACGUGGCUCUCUCCGGGGAGUGUUAUAGCCCGUUGCGUAAUACCCUGUGGCGGACUGAGGUUCGCGCAUUCGCAAGGAUGCUGGCGUAAUGGUCAUCAGUGACCCGUCUUGAAACACGGACCAAGGAGUCGUCUUCGUAUGCGAGUGUUCGGGUGUCAAACCCCCUACGCGAAAUGAAAGUGAACGCA
rnacentral:rRNA from 1 species